CGUUACACCACCCAGGGAUCCCUAAAACUUCUAUUCAGAUAGCUAUAACUGUCUUAAUGAAGGAAUAGAACCAUGGAUUUAUGGAACUUCAGAUGUUAAAGAGACUUCAGGAUUCUCAGUCUGUGAACUAUAAGAUUUAAAGAUUUCAUCCAUCUAUCCAUGAGAGACACAGAGAGAAAAGCAGAGACAUAGGC